CCCUUAGAUGUCCUGGGCCGCACGCGCGCUACACUGAUGCAUGCAACGAGUUUAUAACCUUGGCCUGAAAGGUCUGGGUAAUCUUUUGAACGUGCAUCGUGAUAGGGAUAGAUUAUUGCAAUUGUUAAUCUUGAACGAGGAAUUCCUAGUAAACGCGAGUCAUCAGCUCGCAUUGAUUACGUCCCAGCCCUUUGUACACACCGCCCGUCGCACCUACCGAUUGAAUGGUUCGGUGAAGAUCUCGGACUUCGAUAUUUAUUCUUUAUUGAGUUUAUAUUGUGGGAAGUUAUCUAAACCUCAUCAUUUAGAGGAAGGUGAAGUCGUAACA
rnacentral:rRNA from 1 species